rnacentral:rRNA from 1 species
GACGAACGCUGGCGGCGUGCCUAAUACAUGCAAGUAGAACGCUGAAGGAGGAGCUUGCUUCUCUGGAUGAGUUGCGAACGGGUGAGUAACGCGUAGGUAACCUGCCUGGUAGCGGGGGACAACUAUUGGAAACGAUAGCUAAUACCGCAUAAGAGUGGAUGUUGCAUGACAUUUGCUUAAAAGGUGCACUUGCAUCACUACCAGAUGGACCUGCGUUGUAUUAGCUAGUUGGUGGGGUAACGGCUCACCAAGGCGACGAUACAUAGCCGACCUGAGAGGGUGAUCGGCCACACUGGGACUGAGACACGGCCCAGACUCCUACGGGAGGCAGCAGUAGGGAAUCUUCGGCAAUGGACGGAAGUCUGACCGAGCAACGCCGCGUGAGUGAAGAAGGUUUUCGGAUCGUAAAGCUCUGUUGUAAGAGAAGAACGAGUGUGAGAGUGGAAAGUUCACACUGUGACGUAUCUACCAGAAAGGAC